GCAACAUGGUUGUUGGUUUGAUG
rnacentral:siRNA from 1 species